rnacentral:rRNA from 1 species
AGAGUUUGAUCAUGGCUCAGAUUGAACGCUGGCGGCGUGCCUAACACAUGCAAGUCGAUCGGUAACAGGUGUAGCAAUACAUGCUGACGAGAGGCGGACGGGUGAGUAACGCUUGGGAAUCUGCCUAUUAGUGGGGGACAACCCGGGGAAACUCGGGCUAAUACCGCAUACGCUCUACGGAGGAAAGCCGGGGACCGCAAGGCCUGGCGCUAAUAGAUGAGCCCAAGUCGGAUUAGCUAGUUGGUAGGGUAAUGGCCUACCAAGGCGACGAUCCGUAGCUGGUCUGAGAGGACGACCAGCCACACUGGGACUGAGACACGGCCCAGACUCCUACGGGAGGCAGCAGUGGGGAAUAUUGGACAAUGGGGAAACCCUGAUCCAGCGACGCCGCGUGGGUGAAGAAGGCCUGCGGGUUGUAAAGCCCUUUCGGUGGGGAAGAAAAGCCUCGACCUAACACGUCGGGGUAUUGACGUAACCCACAAAAGAAGCACCGGCUAACUCUGUG